UACGUAGGUGGCGAGCGUUGUCCGGAAUUACUGGGCGUAAAGGGCGUGCAGGCGGUUUUUUAAGUCAGAUGUGAAACCCCGGGGCUUAACUUCGGGAUUGCAUUUGAAACUGAAGGGCUUGAGUGCAGGAGAGGUAAGUGGAAUUCCUAGUGUAGCGGUGAAAUGCGUAGAUAUUAGGAGGAACACCAGUGGCGAAGGCGACUUACUGGACUGUAACUGACGCUGAGGCGCGAAAGCGUGGGGAGCAAACAGGAUUAGAAACCCUAGUAGUCC
rnacentral:rRNA from 1 species